UACGUAGGGUGCAAGCGUUGUCCGGAAUUAUUGGGCGUAAAGGGCGCGUAGGCGGUUCGUACAGUCAGACGUGAAAUUCCUGGGCUCAACCUGGGGGCUGCGUUUGAUACGUGCGGACUUGAGUGCGGAAGAGGGUCGUGGAAUUCCCGGUGUAGCGGUGAAAUGCGCAGAGAUCGGGAGGAACACCCGUAGCGAAGGCGGCGCUCUGGGCCGGUACUGACGCUGAGGAGCGAAAGCGUGGGGAGCAAACAGG
rnacentral:rRNA from 1 species